rnacentral:SRP_RNA from 2 species
GGCCGGGUCCUGUGCAACCACAGACCGUGAACCGGGUCAGGGCCGGAAGGCAGCAGCUCUCAGCGGAUCCUGCGGGGUGCCGCAGAUCGCCUGGCCGCC